rnacentral:rRNA from 1 species
AUUGAACGCUGGCGGCAGGCCUAACACAUGCAAGUCGAGCGGAUGAAGGGAGCUUGCUCCUGGAUUCAUCGGCGGACGGGUGAGUAAUGCCUAGGAAUCUGCCUGGUAGUGGGGGAUAACGUCCGGAAACGGGCGCUAAUACCGCAUACGUCCUGAGGGAGAAAGUGGGGGAUCUUCGGACCUCACGCUAUCAGAUGAGCCUAGGUCGGAUUAGCUAGUUGGUGGGGUAAAGGCCUACCAAGGCGACGAUCCGUAACUGGUCUGAGAGGAUGAUCAGUCACACUGGAACUGAGACACGGUCCAGACUCCUACGGGAGGCAGCAGUGGGGAAUAUUGGACAAAGGGCGAAAGCCUGAUCCAGCCAUGCCGCGUGUGUGAAGAAGGUCUUCGGAUUGUAAAGCACUUUAAGUUGGGAGGAAGGGCAGUAAGUUAAUACCUUGCUGUUUUGACGUUACCAACAGAAUAAGCACCGGCUAACUUCGUG